GGUCAUGAGCGCCAGCGUCAAGCCCCGGCUAGCUGGACGGCAACCCUCCUCCGCGGUGGGGUGCCCCGGGUGAGGACCCGGCCCGUCGCGUGGUGUGAGCGGGCAAGCGCGGACC
rnacentral:ncRNA from 2 species